rnacentral:rRNA from 1 species
UGGCGAACGGGUGAGUAACGCGUGAGGAACCUGCCUCAAAGAGGGGGACAACAGUUGGAAACGACUGCUAAUACCGCAUAAGCCCACGACCCGGCAUCGGGAAGAGGGAAAGGGAGCAAUCCGCUUUGAGAUGGCCUCGCGUCCGAUUAGCUAGUUGGUGAGGUAACGGCCCACCAAGGCGACGAUCGGUAGCCGGACUGAGAGGUUGAACGGCCACAUUGGGACUGAGACACGGCCCAG